AGGAGUAGCAUUUGACAGACCUGGGAGACGUUUGGCUUGCGGCAGAGGCAAAUCUUGCUCAAGUGAGGGAGGCAAAUCAAGGCAGAUCAAGCAGAAAGACAAGAAAUGCAACUUGCAAAGCGAGUUGAUGGCUGCGAAGUCUACUACAGCUCAGCAAUGAGGAGUUAGAAAUCGUCAAAGCUGGUGCAGCUCAGCAAAAUGAAGAGUUAGAGGCAGUGAAGGCUAAAGCCGCUGCACAAAAUGAAGAGUUUGGAGGCACUAAAGGCAAGACAAAAUCAUACUGACAUACUUUUACUUAAAUUGAUGUGUUAUCCUCCCAAAACUGAUGAUUGGUCUAAGCUUCAAAAAAGUACAUCUUGCAAACUGUCAUUGAAGGCUUAUGGAACUUCUAGAAAGACUUGAACUUCUAGAAAGACUUGUAUGUAUUCCGAUUUAUUUUGAAAUUGCUAUUAAGGAUGGA